rnacentral:misc_RNA from 1 species
AAAUCUUGAUCAACCAAUUUUUUUUUCUUUUUCUUUUCGGUGUGCCUAUAAAAUCUCGAUCGAGUUCAAUGGAUUCAAUGAUCUAUCUCAUUGCAUUUCUUAAUGGGCCAUAAAAGCCCAAACAUUUGUCUCAAGUCAGCUGGUAGCAAGUCGUUAAGCAGGUUGAUGGAGGUUAAAUAAAGCUGGAAUUCAAAAUUUCAAGCUCUGAAAUGCCGAAAACGAGGUAUUAUACACUGAUAUAAAUGUUUAUACAGUUAUAUACAGUAGUAAAUACUCUAUACAGGUUCAAAUACAGCGAAGCAGGUUGAAAAAUACAGAAAAUGUAAAUGGCAAACUGAAAUACAGAUU